rnacentral:rRNA from 1 species
CACACCUAUUAGCUAGCCCCAACUCUAGACCUUCCUAAAAAUAUUAAGAAGUCUUAAAAACCUAAAAAUUAAAAAUAAAACAUUAUUUAGCCGAGUAUAGGAGAUAAAAAAGUAUCUGAGGAGCUAUAGAUAAAGUACCGCAAGGGAACGCUGAAAAAGAAAUGAAAAAACCCAGUCAAGUUAGAUAAAGCAGAGGUAAACCCUCGUGCCUUUUGCAUCAUGAUUUAGUGAGCAAAAACAAGCAAAGAGAACUUAAGUUUGAGACCCCGAAACCAGACGAGCUGCUCCAGGGCAGCUUAUUUAUUAGAGCCCCCCCGUCUCUGUGGCAAAAGAGUGGGAAGACCCUUGAGUAGAGGUGAUAAACCUAUCGAGUUUGGUAAUAGCUGGUUGCUUAAUAAAUGAAUAUAAGUUCAGCCCCGUGAGUCCUUAACCCCUCUCCUCUUUUUAAUAGGCCCCGCCUUAAUAAAGAUUAAAGGAAUCACAGGAGUUAGUCAAAAAAGGUCCAGCUUUUUUGACAAAAGAGCCAACUUUUAUAUGAGGCUAAGGAUCAUAUUUGAGAAGGAAAAUGCCUAAGUGGGCUUAAGAGCAGCCAUCUUGUGAAAAGCGUUAAAGCUUGAGUAUACUCUUCCUCCAAUAAUAAAGAUAAAACUUCCUAAUCCCCCUUAACUAUUAAGCCCCUCUAUAUAACUAUAGAGAAGAAUAUACUAAUAUGAGUAACAAGAGCUUGAAGCUCUCCUAGUACAAGUGUAAAUCGGAUUAGACCCCCUACCGAAAAUUAAUGCCCCCAAACAUAGAGGGAAUUGAACAGGUAUCAUAAAACUAGAAAUGCCUUCACCCUGCAAGCAUUACCCUUACACAAGAGUACCCCCUUGGAAAGAUUAAAAGAAGAGGAAGGAAUUCAGCAAGCCCGGAGCCUCGCCUGUUUACCAAAAACAUCGCCUCCUGCUUGAAUAAUAUAGGAGGUCCUGCCUGCCCAGUGACCAUGUGUUAAAUGGCCGCGGUAUUUUAACCGUGCAAAGGUAGCGCAAUCACUUGUCUUUUAAAUGAGGACCUGUAUGAAUGGCAAAACGAGGGCCCAACUGUCUCCCUCUUUUAAUCAGUGAAAUUGAUCUCCCCGUGCAGAAGCGGGGCUAUUUACAUAAGACGAGAAGACCCUGUGGAGCUUUAAACACAAGAUAGGAACAUAUAAAAUUUAUUUAUAAAACAAUAAAACCCUUGUUCCCCUCUCCACUGUUUUUGGUUGGGGCGACUGCGAGGAAAAACAAAACCCCCCGCGAGGAUUAAAAAUACUAUUUUUAAAAUAUAGAGCUUCAGCUCUACAACACAGAAAUUCUGACCACCAGAUCCGGCAGUGCCGAUCAACGAACCAAGUUACCCCAGGGAUAACAGCGCAAUCCUCUUUCAGAGCCCAUAUCGACAAGAGGGUUUACGACCUCGAUGUUGGAUCAGGACAUCCUAAUGGUGCAGCCGCUAUUAAGGGUUCGUUUGUUCAACGAUUAAAGUCCUACGUGAUCUGAGUUCAGACCGGAGUAAUCCAGGUCGGUUUCUAUCUAUGUUGCACCCUUUUUUAGUACGAAAGGACCAAAAAGGGGGGGCCUCUGUUAUAGACACGCCCCAACCUUAACUAAUGAUAAACACUUAAUUAGGUAAAAGGCCACGCAACAGGACCGGGAAAAAACCGGAU